rfam:Strongylocentrotus purpuratus Contig143297_fixed, whole genome shotgun sequence.
CAAACGGCCCUUUUCAGGGCCACCAUACUAGCACGAAAAAUAUUGU